GGAGCAGCGGUCCCGACAUGGCAGCCAGAUCUCAGCUGUUGGCCCGGUUCACAGGACCUGAAGUCUUUGACCCGGGAGUCUGUUUGUUAUGUUUGCACUGUGGGAUGAGGUAGUAGGUUGUAUAGUUUUACGGUCAUACCCGCACUGGGAGAUAACUAUUAAACCUACUGUCUUUCCCAAAGUGCUAAUUACACCUCUCAGUGGAAGCUCCCCGUCAUCUGAAGGCCGGUUCUUCAGCCUUUGCUGCACAGGAAUACGAUGUUUUAUGGCGUUUGCUCACACAGUAUGAGGUAGUAGAUUGUAUAGUUUUGGGGUAGUGAUUUUGCCCUGUUUGGAAGAUAACUAUACAAUCUAUUGCCUUCCCUGAGGAGUAGCAUCUCUUCAAAGAGCCGUGGAAACACCAGACAUGUGGUGAACAUAUAAGUCCUGUGUUGCCCAAUGAACACGUCAAGCUUUAACCUAUUUUUAGUAGUUUUACACUUAAAGGGAGGCCAGUGGGUGAACACCCCUAUAGUGUUUAAAAGGUGUAGUGUUUUUUUUUUUUUUUCAAAUACUGUUUCAAAAGAUCAUCUGAACUGUAAAUAAUAAAAGUUUUCAUUCAGCCUUACUGAAGCGUCUCAACUACCAUCCCUAUUUUUAAGGUUCAUGCUUUGUGUGUGUCAUCGUCAUUCAUAUCUAUAGAAGCAAUAUGUUUUAAAAUAAAUUGUAUGAAAGCACUGGAAUGUUUAUCUUGCCUCUUAUUUAUGCACAAGAAGAUUGAUCCAUUUAGUUUUGAAUUGUAGACUGAAUAUAUUCAAUAUUCAUGUACAUAUCGUUCUUUAUGCAGCUGCACUCCAAAUGGUGUGCGUGUGUGCGCGCAGUGGAAACUGGCUGAAUUGAUUGGAAAAAGGACACGAGGAUUGCGUGUUCUCACUAGUUGGACGUGGCAGGAAGAGGAAGCUACCAGUUACCAAAUGCUGAGGAAGCAAGUGGUGAAGAACCAUCAAGUGAGUGCAAAGAAGAUGGCAAAGAAAGAAGGUUGCAGCAGGUCAUAGCAGGGAUCUACUAAGUACUGAAGCGCUUGUAAUGAAGGGGUUGGAUCAUUUUCAGACUGCUGUACUCAUUAAAAUUAUUAUUUUGUGAAUCAAGUCAAGAAAAUCUGACCCCAGUAAUUGUUUUCAGAAAUACAUUUUU
ensembl:lncRNA